rnacentral:rRNA from 1 species
CCUGGCUCAGGAUGAACGCUAGCUACAGGCUUAACACAUGCAAGUCGAGGGGCAGCAUGAGAGUAGCUUGCUACUCUGAUGGCGACCGGCGCACGGGUGCGUAACACGUAUCCAAUCUACCCAUGGCUCGGGAAUAGCCUUUCGAAAGAAAGAUUAAUGCCCGAUGGUCUGUGGUUGAGACAUCUCGGCCCACAGUAAAGAUUUAUCGGCGAUGGAUGAGGAUGCGUCCGAUUAGGUAGUAGGCGGGGCAACGGCCCACCUAGCCUACGAUCGGUAGGGGUUCUGAGAGGAAGGUCCCCCACAUUGGAACUGAGACACGGUCCAAACUCCUACGGGAGGCAGCAGUGAGGAAUAUUGGUCAAUGGGCGCGAGCCUGAACCAGCCAAGUAGCGUGAGGGAAGACUGCCCUAUGGGUUGUAAACCUCUUUUGUUUGGGAAUAAAGUGUCCUACGUGUAGGAUUUUGUAUGUACCAUACGAAUAAGCAUCGGCUAAUUCCGUGCCAGCCGCGGC